GUAGGUGGCAAGCGUUGUCCGGAAUUAUUGGGCGUAAAGCGCGCGCAGGCGGUUCUUUAAGUCUGAUGUGAAAGCCCACGGCUCAACCGUGGAGGGCCAUUGGAAACUGGAGAACUUGAGUACAGAAGAGGAAAGCGGAAUUCCACGUGUAGCGGUGAAAUGCGUAGAGAUGUGGAGGAACACCAGUGGCGAAGGCGGCUUUCUGGUCUGUAACUGACGCUGAGGCGCGAAAGCGUGGGGAGCAAACAGGGAUUAGAUACCCUGGUAGUCCACGCCGUAAACGAUGAGUGCUAAGUGUUAGGGGGUUUCCGCCCCCUUAGUGCUGCAGCUAACGCAUUAAGCACUCCGCCUGGGGAUACGGCCGCAAGGCUG
rnacentral:rRNA from 1 species